GGCCGGACCUGUUCCGGGCGGUACACAUGGCGGUGCCGUUUGUGGACGUGUUGAACACCAUGAUGGAUGCGACACUGCCGCUGACGGUGGGCGAGUACCUGGAGUGGGGAAACCCGAAUGAGAAGGCUGCCUACGAUUAUAUGAAGACUUACAGCCCGUACGACAAUCUGGAGAGGCGGAGUUAUCCGGCCAUGCUGGUGACCACCAGUUUCAACGACAGCCAGGUGAUGUACUGGGAGCCGGCGAAGUAUGUGGCCCAGCUGCGCACGCUCAAAACUGACCGGAAUCCGCUGCUCCUGAAGAUCAAGAUGGAGCCUGCUGGCCACGGCGGCGCUUCGGGACGGUACGACCGGCUGCGGGAUACGGCGUUCGAGUACGCGUGGAUGCUACAGCAGGCAGGGAUCGCGAAAUAAGUCCGGCAGACGAUUGCCGCGGAGGAUGCUCUUCUGGCGGUUUGGUGAUUGUUUGAUUAUCAUACCCGAGUUUAACGCUCGGGUUGCUGCUCACGCACCGCUCCCUCUGGUCACGGCUCUGUGACGGGUGCGUCGCGGGCGCGGGGCGACGCAAGGUUGCGCGGUAUGGCGCACGGUGAUACACGGGGAGCAUGGCCGAACUACCGGUGCUUGUGGACGUGGGCGUCUCGAACCUGGAUGUGCUGCCGUGCUGCGGCGUGAAGCGGGCCGGACACGAAGGACGGGAGCGGAAGAACUGCUGGAUCCGGACGCACCUGCAGAAAGGCCUGUGCGCGAAGGUCGCGCUCGGCGCGGGCAACCGGCAAUGCGGUUACGUCGAAUACCUGCCCGGCGAGUAUGCGUGGCGCGGCGUGGAUGCUCGCGGGUGGAUGUUCCUGAAUUGUAUCUUCACCUUCUGGCGCCAGUAUCAACACAAGGGCUUGGGAGCGGCGAUGGUGGAGGCGUGUCUUUCGGAUGCGCGCAAGGCGGGGAUGAACGGGGUGGCCGUGCUGGCGCGGAAGGGUCCGUGGCUGGCGGGCAGCGAACUGUUUCUCACGAACGGCUUCGAGGCGGUGGCGGAGGCUGCGCCCGAUUACCAGCUUCUGGUAAAGCGCCUGAAGAAACGGGCGGCGCCCCCGGUGUUCCGCGGGGACUUCGAACGGAAGACGAAGCGGUACGGGAAGGGGCUGACUAUGAUCCUGUCGGACCAGUGCCCGCACAUCG
rnacentral:misc_RNA from 1 species